AAUCUUAGCGGCGGACGGGUGAGUAACACGUGGGCAACCUGCCCUGCAGACUGGGAUAACUCCGGGAAACCGGAGCUAAUACCGGGUAAUACAUCGCACCGCAUGGUGUGAUGUUGAAAGUUGGCUUUCGAGCUAACACUGCAGGAUGGGCCCGCGGCGCAUUAGCUAGUUGGUAAGGUAAUGGCUUACCAAGGCGACGAUGCGUAGCCGACCUGAGAGGGUGAUCGGCCACACUGGGACUGAGACACGGCCCAGACUCCUACGGGAGGCAGCAGUAGGGAAUCUUCCGCAAUGGACGAAAGUCUGACGGAGCAACGCCGCGUGAGUGACGAAGGCCUUCGGGUCGUAAAGCUCUGUUGUUAGGGAAGAACAAGUACCGUUCGAAUAGGGCGGUACCUUGACGGUACCUAACCAGAAAGCCACGGCUAACUACGUGCCAGCAGCCGCGGUAAUACGUAGGUGGCAAGCGUUGUCCGGAAUUAUUGGGCGUAAAGCGCGCGCAGGCGGUCCUUUAAGUCUGAUGUGAAAGCCCACGGCUCAACCGUGGAGGGUCAUUGGAAACUGGGGGACUUGAGUGCAGAAGAGGAGAGUGGAAUUCCACGUGUAGCGGGUGAAAUGCGUAGAUAUGUGGAGGAACACCAGUGGCGAAGGCGGCUCUCUGGUCUGUAACUGACGCUGAGGCGCGAAAGCGUGGGGGAGCAAACA
rnacentral:rRNA from 1 species